CUCAUUUGAAUUCCACCCGCUGUCCUCCCGUCGUCUUAUCCAUUUCUCCUGCGACAGCGACGGCGGCUUCGCCCAUUCCGUCGUGCGCCGGCGACGGCCGCCGCCGUGCCUCGGGCGGGAGCACGGAGGGAGCUCGCCGGGAGGAUGGAGGACGGCGCGGCGAAGCGGGGCAGUGGUGGUGGCGUGUGCGGCGGAGACGGCGCGCAAGGCCGGGCGGUGGCGGUGAUUGACCGGCCGUCGUGCCUCGCGCGGGAGGAUGGACGACGCUCGCCGGGGCGUGUGCGGCGCAGGCGGCUUCUGCCGCACGUUGAGGUGGAGCAGCAGAGGACGGGAAGGCAAGAAGGCAGGGUGGGUACGCUGUGCACCAGGGCCGCCUUCGUCCUCCACCUCCUCCAAAAGCGCGCGCUCGCCGCGGGCGCUGGCGGUGGCACGGCGGUCCUCGCCCUUGGUGCGCGGGUGCGCGGAUGCGUUGGGGAUCGAGGGAGCUCUCCUCCCUCGCGGCUGGAGGCGCUCGGGAUCGAGCGAGUGGGCGAGGGGAUCGGGGCCCCUGGUGGUUGCCUGCUUGGCGAUUGCACGCGAUGCUGGGCUGGCCGACUCGAUCUCCUCGACCCAGGGCCCCGUGCUCGUCAGCGCCUGCCCCAUCGCGCAUGACUUCUCUGAUCCAGCGCGCAGCGAGGGCGCGGCCGCUGCCAGUCUCGCCGCCGCCCUGUCACGGAUCGCCACGCCCAUCUCCUCUGAUCUGAACACCUCUCCUACAUCCCCUGUUGCGAUCAUCCCUUGCUUAACGAGAAAAAAAUCCAAUGCCUACACACCUGUAUUCUCCCUCUCAAACUAUACAGUUCCUACAAGCCAUGGCGACAUUCACCUACAACUAUUCGGACAAGGACGGGGAGGAGUGGACCAUGGCUGCACCGAGGUCCACCCACUAGCGGCCUGCCACCGUGGCUGCAACGAGGAUUCCCUCACCAAGCCUCACCGGCGUUCCGGAUCACCAAUGUACUUCUACUUAUUUGUCUCUACAAGAUUGCUGCUUGAUUAUAUCUCAUUGAGACCUGAAUCAUCUUCCAUGGUUAUUCAACACUGAAGCUGCUUGAUUGAUCCACAAUAGAUCUUGACUUCGGCGGAAACUGAGGUUCUGUACACACUAUUUUCAGAAGCUUGUGUGGCAGCAACAAUAUUUGUGCCACGACAUGUAGUCGAAACAGAGGGAAAAACUUUGUAGAGAUCGAAGUUUCACUGUUACAAACACAAUAAAGGUUUCAUGGUGGCAGUGCCUUCUUCUACAUGAUGGGAAUUCGACGGCAUUUUGUUGUUUUGUUGUUAAAUACCAACUGGGCAUGUCGUUUAUUCACAGAUCAAGUAAUAUGACCAUCUCUUGCAGACAAAACGCUCGGGGAAAGUCCCAGCCGUGCACCUGUGAUCGCUGGAACGGCAUACUGUUUUAGGAAUGCAAUACAGACUGGUCAGGAGGUUUGUGUCUAUAGGAUGGAAUUACAUGAUAUGUCAAAAUGGUGGUCUUUAUUAUGCAAUUUAACUGAUCUCUUGUUGAACCCCUCCUUUUCCAGAAAAAACUAUUAUUUAAUCUUUGAAGUUUAA